UACGAAGGGGGCUAGCGUUGCUCGGAAUCGCUGGGCGUAAAGCGCACGUAGGCGGAUUGCUAAGUCAGGGGUGAAAUCCUGGAGCUCAACUCCAGAACUGCCUUUGAUACUGGCGAUCUCGAGUUCGGGAGAGGUGAGUGGAACUGCGAGUGUAGAGGUGAAAUUCGUAGAUAUUCGCAAGAACACCAGUGGCGAAGGCGGCUCACUGGCCCGAUACUGACGCUGAGGUGCGAAAGCGUGGGGAGCAAACAGG
rnacentral:rRNA from 1 species